rnacentral:rRNA from 1 species
GACGGAAGGUGCAAGCGUUGCUCGGAAUCACUGGGCGUAAAGGGUGCGUAGGCGGCCGCGCAAGUCUGGCGUGAAAGCCCCGGGCUCAGCCCGGGAAGGGCGCUCGAAACGGCGCGGCUCGAGUGCCGGAGGGGAGAGUGGAAUUCCUGGUGUAGCGGUGAAAUGCGUAGAUAUCAGGAGGAACACCAGUGGCGAAGGCGGCACUCUGGGCCGGUACUGACGCUGAGGAGCGAAAGCGUGGGGAGCGAACAGG